CUUAUUGAAGUAGUCACAACGACGACAUCACUAGCUAGGCCGCAUAUUCCAUCGCCAGAUCCGAACCAAGCGAAGUGAAGGAAGACGGGUGUCCUUUUCGUACACUGAGUGUGGGGGGUGAGUCUUCAUGCUGUGAAAACCUAUAAUUUUGACGUGGUGCUGUAUAUUGCUGUGGGCUGCUGUGUAUUGCCGUGUGUCCUGUCAGAUAAACCCCCGCCUUCACGCACUUCGUCGCGGGAGGACAAGGAGACUGCUGGUCCUAGCCUAGUUCAGUACAGUAUAUGUUGUGAGCGUGCUUCAGAUCUCCGGAGAUAGCACAGUACGCUGUGUCCAGCCCAGAGGUGAGAGCCAUUCAAAGCAAACUAACUGUGCUAUUGUGCCCAAGUUGAUACCUGUGGAGAGAAAAGGAGAGAGAGUGGGUAACACGAGGAGAGACCGAGGAAACCUGUACUUACGCCGCUGCCUGUGGAGAAAGAGAAAGCGAGUGAGCACCCAAGGAACGAACUGUGUGAACCAGUACUUACUGUGAGCUGUAAUCAGCGAAGAGCCGUUGCCUGUGGAGAAAGAGAAAGAGAG
ensembl:lncRNA